AGUCCGGUGUGUCUCAAAUUGUCGGAUAUGUUGGGUAUUUAUUUCGAUUUGGGUGGUGUUAUCUGAGACCAGUUGUUUAUGAAUUUCAAAACCCAGUUUGAGAUUUUGAUUUUUUUGGUUUAAUUACGAGAUUUGAUUGAUGUUCAGUUUGGGGGUCGAGAUAUUCUUGUUGAAAUACGAAUCACUUUGUUGUUAAUAAUCAUUAUGUUUCUUAGUUUGCGGGCUCCAAAGUGUGGUCACUUUGUAUUCUUUGUUUUUUCGUUUUCUCUUAUUCUCUGGGUUGUCUUCUCUUUCUUUGUUGGUAUCCUUUUUCUGUCGAUUUUCUUCCUUCCGAUCAAAUUCUGAUGGUGUCUCCUAUGGAAGUAGUAAUUGGCUAUCUUUUUAUAAAUCAAUGGAAAAUCAAAUCCUUUGAUUUAUAUCAUUUAAAUCUUGUAACUAAUCCAAGAGAGAUGAUUUUUUUAGUUUGUGAGAGGCGAUUUGUAUAAGUUAUACGAGAAGCGUUUCAUAAGAUGUUUUACAAAAAUCUUUCAUAUAUGUUAUGUAUUGUAGCUGAAGAGUUUUAGAUUGGCUGAUGGCUGUGUUUAGCCAUAUGUUGGAGGCACUAUAGGUUGAGGGUUAGACCAUGCCAUUUUUUUGUUAGCAUUAAAGUCAUGUUAGUUUGAAAUUUUCCUUAAGGAUGUACCCACAAUUGGUUUGAGCUUUACAGAAGGAGUAAUUUGCCAAGGGCCAAAGAGUUUGAGUCGAGAAUGUUAGUCCUUUAUGAACACUGUGUAGAGAAGCUUUGUCGAGAUACAUAAAGGUUGUGUUUUAACCGUAGAUUUUACGAGAAACAUUUUUCUUUUGAUUCUGAUCUUUCCUAAAAGUAUUUUUGUCUGUCUCAUUAAGUUUCUAUGAAAGUUAUCUCAGGUUUUAUGAGAAACAUUCCGAGUAUAUGUAAUGAAAUUUUGUUACUCGUGAUGUUUGUGGGAUCGAUGAGCAAAAUGGCUUCAUAAACUGAUGAUGAUAUCUGGUCCACUGUUGUGGAGAAGAUUUUUCUCUUGUUUAUGCUCGAUGUUCCAGACAUUGCUGAUCUUGUUUUUCUGCGAAAUAAUUUUGAAAAACUUUUUGAUGUUUUCCCGUAAAUCAUUUGGCUCUACGGAAAUUGGGAGUGACACUUUUUUUGUUUGGAGAUAUCUAAAUUGAUUUUUGAUUUUUUUUAUUUAUUUUGGUUAUACAAGACUUAUUUCGUCAAGUCAAAUAAGUUUUAUGCCUUAACGUUUGGUUAAUUGUUUUGUUAUUAGUCUGAUGUUCGUAUAAGGUUUGUCCAAAUGCACGAUUGCAUUAAGAGUUGCUAGACAGUUUAGACGAGUCUUAAAUUAUCAUUUUUCGUUGGACGAUUUCGAUGAGGCAUUGUCUUCCCUAAGUCGUUUACUUCCUAAGGCUACAAGAGUUUGUUUCUUGAUGCUGAGAUAAAACAUUUUUGAAAGUAUGGGAGUACGAGUAUAGUAUAUGUUCUUUACUCUAUGCUCAUACAUACUCCGUACGCACUCUAAAACAUAUGUCUCCCACAAACCACACUCUCAAAGCAUGUUUGGGUACUCUUCCUUUGAACCAAACAGAGUAAGUCCAUUACUUGACAAUUUGGCGAUGACUGAUAAUAACUUCCCAAGUGCCAGACGUUGAUAAAGCUUUAAGGUUCUCAUUUUUUACUUUCCAGAAGACAAAGGGUAUGAAUGGUGACCAAGGAACGAUGAG
rnacentral:lncRNA from 1 species